AUGUACCACGUGGCCAGGCCUCCGCAUCCAAGUUCAUAUUUCCAGGUCAGAGCGCCUUCUGGGGAGGAAGGCGGCGGCCUCCCAGCUCCGGUCUCCUUAAGUGCACCCUGGGAAGUCUUCACACUGCCUUUCUUUUCCCCCGGUGGUCUAAUCUGGAGUCAGAUCCAGCCGCUGGCUCCUACAGCCGGGGAAGGACUGCGAGCCAACAGGAAAACAACAGUUACCCUUAUCACGCUGACCCGGAGGACCUCUGUGCGUGACAUUCCAUGUCCCUGCCUCAAAUUCUGCAAACGUGCUUUUAGGUGUUGAUGGGACAGGCUCUCCGGUUGUUCUUAAAAAAAGAUGUUACUUCUCUCCUUUACACCGCUUUCCACAAGGAUGACUUGAAAUUUCUUUUAAAGAAGAGUUCUUUCAGGAUAUGCGGGGAGAGGUAUUAAAAUGUGUUCUUCUAGAGCUCCAGGGACAUGUAGAAUUUCAGCAUUUGGUCCUCACGGAAGCAGUGAGAAUGUAUUUCUGUUAGAUCACCCUGAGUUUGAAAAAAAAAAAAAACAAAAACCCAAACACCCAGUCUGUUUGAGCUCUGUCGCCAAUAGCCUAAUCAACCUUUUAUUAGUAAAAAGGAAUCUGAAAAAUACUCAGAUGCCCUCUGAUUUUUGUUUCCUUUUUUUUUCUUUCUACAUUUCUCCACGCACACAAAAAGAGUCAGAAGACAAAUGUGGACUUGGAAAUACUCUUAAGUAGUCAAGUUUAUUAAAAUCAGAUCCAAAUGACAUUUAUUAAAAAAUACAAUAGGGACGCCUGGGUGGCUCAGCCGUUGAGUGUCUGCCUUCGGCUCAGGUUGGGACCCUGAGGUCCGGGAUCGAGUCCCGCCUCCAGCUCCUUGCAGGGAGCCUGCUUCUCCCUCUGCCAGCGUCCCUGACUCUCUCUCUGUGUCUCUCAUGAAUAAAUAAAUAAAAUCUUUAAAAAAAUAAGAAAUAAAAAUAAAAUAAACCUCCCUAUAAUAAUUAUGAAACACACCCACUAUUUUGAUCAUCGGUAGCGUUUGAACCAGAACGGAGUACACUGCAUCACUGCCCGUGCGCUUCCACACCAGACGUAAAGGACAACUGUGACAAUGACAUAGCUUUGAAAUAACAUCGUAAGUCCCUGUGAACAUCCUGGCAGCUCUUAACAACUCAAUUACCUUGAGCUGUUCCCUUCUGAAAGUGAACAAAAAUCAUAUUCUUUCCAAUUUGCCCAGCAGGAAUUUUUUCUUAACCUGAACCAUGUCUAAGUGUGACUUAGAUUGUGCCAAGGUGGUCCCCAGGGGAGAGGGACAGCAAUGUCUCUAAGGAGCUCUGCUCCAUCCAAGAACACUUACCAAAGGGCGACCCGCCUUCUCCUGCCCGUGCUCUCUAUCUCCCUGCUACUCACUACUGCUCGCCUGCACCCAGAAAGAUGCUGAGCACCCCUCUCCCUGCGACGCCUUCCCUGUGUUCUGUGUUCCAGGCAGGGUUGUCCUGGGAUGGAACCUCAUUAAAGGGCAAACCUUAGGUGCGGCUGUCACUUCUCAGAGUGAAUUAUAAGUUUCAACACCUCACACAUCCCUUAAACUUUCCAAAGAAUUUUGCCCAUCUUAGAAGAAAGUAGCACUUUAAAAAGCAACCUCUAUUAUUUGAUUAUCGGUCAGGCUCUGGCCAGUUUGAACAGCACGUUUUGACAAAGACAACUUUUUCCCCAUUUAGCUGACCUUCCUCAAGAGGCAGUCUCUCAAGUGCCAACAGAGGGCUCUGAGUGGUGGGCAGGCUUCACAGAGGCAUGGUCUGUCUGUGAUUAUGGGGAGGUGGAUGGGGCUACAUCCCAAGCACACAUUUCCCCUCACACACUGGCUGGGGCUUUGGGUCCCCACUGUCUGCCAUUUCAAAGAUUUGAGCUUCUUGACCCAAAGCAAGGGUGGCCAGCAGGGUUGGAGGAACGGGUGGGAGAAGCUCUAGGUUUCUAUACAGGGGAAAGGAAGCCUGACACAUCUCCUGGGGGUGAAAGGAGUCACUAGCACACUCACACAAGACCCUUUAGGCAAAGACAAGAGUGGUUGUUAUGGGGGACACAAGUAGCUCUCCAAGUAUGUCCUGAAUGUGGGAGGCCACAGCAGCUGCCUCCCCUUGAGACAGCCCACGGGGCCCCUGCCAGGAGCUAUAAUGACUCGCUGGCCCUUGCCAGCUGUCACACUUUGCAUGCCACUGGAGCUCCGGUCCAGCAGAAGGGGCCAUCCAAGUCACCAGUUUCAACAAGCGCCAAAUCCUGUGCCCAUGCUGGGCCCGUACGGCCACCCAGAACCCUCUUGGAGGGCUCCAAGGAGAACACUUCAAUGCACACUGACCAGCAUGUCCUCCUGACUGUGUCCAGGGCCAGGGGAAUGGAGUUCUCCUUCCCAAGACAGAAAUGUGGUGAGAUCAAGAGCUAAAGGGAACCCUUAGGGACAUCCCUGGUAAAGAGGGGCCCUUCAAGGGGGGAGAGCAGUGUGUGUCUUUCCAUCUCAUGGAUUCCUGGGGCGCCUCCCCCGCCUCGUGGGUGGGAAACAUAUGGGGGUGCCCUUUGGCCACUCUAUCCUAGGCAUUAGCUUCUGUCUUUCUCACUCACUUCCUCUUCCUGCUGGCAGGGUAAGGCCCCAGGGCCCCUGCCU
rnacentral:lncRNA from 1 species